AUUGAACGCUGGCGGCAGGCCUAACACAUGCAAGUCGAGCGAGCGGCGGACGGGUGAGUAAUGCCUGGGAAACUGCCUGAUGGAGGGGGAUAACUACUGGAAACGGUAGCUAAUACCGCAUACCAUCAGAUGUGCCCAGAUGGGAUUAGCUAGUAGGUGGGGUAACGGCUCACCUGGGCGACGAUCCCUAGCUGGUCUGAGAGGAUGACCAGCCACACUGGAACGGGUACACGGCCCAUGGUCCUACGGGAGGAAGCAGUGGGGUAUAUUGCACAAUGGGCGCAAGCCUGAUGCAGCCAUGCCGCGUGUGUGAAGAGGGCCUUCGGGUUGUAAAGCACGUUCAGCGGGGAGGCGUUACCCGCAGAAGAAGCACCGGCUAACUCCGUGCCAGCAGCCGCGGUAAUUC
rnacentral:rRNA from 1 species